GUUAAGAUGAAAAUGUUCUAGAGUGUGUAUUAUGGAAAUUGUGGUAUGGAAAUUAUAUAAUACACACUCUAGAACAUUUUCAUCUUAAU